rnacentral:rRNA from 1 species
UGGGGAAUAUUGGACAAUGGGCGAAAGCCUGAUCCAGCCAUGCCGCGUGUGUGAAGAAGGUCUUCGGAUUGUAAAGCACUUUAAGUUGGGAGGAAGGGCAGUAAGCGAAUACCUUGCUGUUUUGACGUUACCGACAGAAUAAGCACCGGCUAACUCUGUGCCAGCAGCCGCGGUAAUACAGAGGGUGCAAGCGUUAAUCGGAAUUACUGGGCGUAAAGCGCGCGUAGGUGGUUCGUUAAGUUGAAUGUGAAAGCCCCGGGCUCAACCUGGGAACUGCAUCCAAAACUGGCGAGCUAGAGUAGGGCAGAGGGUGGUGGAAUUUCCUGUGUAGCGGUGAAAUGCGUAGAUAUAGGAAGGAACACCAGUGGCGAAGGCGACCACCUGGGCUCAUAAUGACACUGGGGUGCGAAAGCGUGGGGAGCAAACAGG